CCUUCUUGUCUUAUGCUCCAAGGUCAUCUCGAUGCUGUCCGUUUUGAGCAUCUCAUGUACGUGGGCAAUGUUCUUUCAGUUCUCGUUCAUGUAGGGAUUGAAGCAUGCCUCCGAAGUUUCACCCAUGUUUCGGCCUGUGUUCUCUUUCCACGCUGUUGCUUUUCUUGCAUAUCUGCUGUUCGUUGGAAGAGGUGACCCAUCGAAUCUGAUUAAGCUAGUAUCAAUCAGAAUAAGUAGUAAACUGUUUAGUGAUGGGCUUUAGUUUAAUUGGGUU
rnacentral:lncRNA from 1 species